GAAGAAUUUUGGAUAAUUGCUUACGGAGUGAAACCCACAACAGAAAUUGCGCUUUUUAUUUAAACAAUCUGGACACCCUGGCUCUGAUCCACUCAUUAGUAGUUUCAGGCCAAAGCCAAAAAAAAAGCAACCAAACCCUUUUCAAAGGAAGAAAUCGAUAUGUUGCUUCCAGCUGAACCAACUAAGGAUGACACGAAGUCUGGAGAGUCUUCAGAAGAGGAGGAAGGGUCCGAUGAAGAAUCUAGGCACUCAUCAUCAUCCUAAAAUAGUUUUUUACACAAAUUUUGUUUUAGAAUUCAAUUAAACAUUUAUUAUCCAUUGCAUUACAAGAUAAAAUUGUUUAUUUCUAUAAUUUUCUUUGGAACUUAUAUCUCAAGGAAGUCCAGACGCAUUUUAACAAUAAAAACAAAUUUUUGAGCAACA